rnacentral:lncRNA from 1 species
CUGAUUUAUGCUCUGAUGCUGUUUGUUUUCGAGGACCUCCAUUUCUCUAAGUGCUGCCUGGAGAUCUGGCUGUUCCCCUUAGCUGAAAUAAAGGAACACCCAAGCAUCUCUGCUUGGUAGACCAGGUGGCCUAUCUUAAUUUAACCCUAUUAAGCUGCAACACUCUGGGAUGGUCUGAAAAAGUAUGUUUAUCCAUUGUGCUUGGUCAAGACUUACUAUCGUUGUCAGGAGGUUUGUGGGAAAGA